UCAUCUGCCACCGUAGCCGCAUCUGCUCGGCGCUGGCUCCUGUUCAUUUCAUGGCAUGCUAAGCAUUUCCUUGUCAAUUGGGAGAUGUCAGGAUGUGAAAACAACCAACAUUAAGUAGAUAUUUUGUGCCAGCACGAUAGCAAGUGUCUCCAAUAUGCUUUUGUCUUCUGUUCAAAGAUGCUAAACUGGCCUUCAUCAAACAGCCACUAGCUCAACUUGCUUCUGCUGUCUGUGAACACAGAGAACGAGGAUGGCUAAUGCAGCUGGGGCCCAACCAUGGAACAGCUGCACCGAGCAACUGAGACCCUUCCUUGGAAACCUCAGCACAGUUCACGAGCUGCAGAUGCAUUGCAGUGACUGAUUAAAAAAUACAAGAUGAAAUAUUGCAGCUAUCAAUAAUUCCUGCACAUGGCUGACUUCUAAUGAAAGAAUAAAGUUUCUGAGGGAGAGAGAAGAAAUGAAGAAAAGGGGUUUUUUAUCAAUUUCAGAGGAACACUUUGAUAUAAUCCUGAAAAUUUCUCUUGGUGAAAUAUUUUCUUUCAUUACCCUCCAUCAUACAGUGUUUGUUUAAUUUCCCCCUUUCAGCAGUGCUUUCAACAUCUUAGGAGUGGCCUGAAAGAGUUUUAAAACAUUUCUACCCAUUAAGGGCAACAGGCAAGAAGUUCUUCUUUUGUGAAUAGAUAUGCUAGUCCAAAUGUUUUGUCUGUAUCCAUGCUCGUCUCGGAACGGCUUUGUCUGUGAAGAGGAGGUUGUAAUAUGCAUCCGUGCAUAACCAUCUGCAUCUUCACAACACGUCAAUUGCUUGUAUAUUCACGGGUGGUGACUGACUGAUUCGUGCAUGUCCGUGCAAUUUGGCGCUUUCAGCCUCGUGCUGGCGGAUGUGAGUGUAUUUCACAGAGGCAGGUUGGGCAAUAAAUUUUGAAACUUUAUCCUCAUCUUUGGAUAGAGUAAUAAAAGUUUGUAGGCUUAAGAAAGCAAUAUUCCCUGGAACUGCAAUAUAUGGGAAUGAUGAAACUGAACUAAAAUGUACAGUAAUCUCUAAGGCCUACCCAAGCCAGAGAGGUGCAAAGUGAGAACCAUAAAGCAAAAUUUAACACCCGCCACACUAAACGUCAUUUUCAGCCUCUGACCAAUUUCACACAGAAUUGGGAAAUAUGACUAAUAUCAAGGCCUGAUUCCCUGGGGGGCUUAAGCAGGAGCAUGUCAGGAGGAAAAGUGAUGGCCCAUUGUUAGUUGAGCCAAUGAGAGGUUGGCACUGGCUUAGCACAGUGUUCCACAGUCUCCCCAACAGCACCCUGCUUUCCCCUUUCUUGAAUUCCAUCUGCUAUGCAAAACAAGAUUUGCAGCCAGCCUCAGGGAUUUGGGACCUCUUCAGGCAAGAGGUCUGGCCACAGCAGAGACCAAGGCCUUUCCUUUCUUUGGAGUUUAAUUUGGGACCUGGGAGGCAAUACUUUGUCCUAUACAGUUCAUGGUCAGGAAGGACAGGCCCUAAUGAAAGGCAAACAGAGGCCGACAGAGUAACCACACCUGCCUAACUAUCCAAAGAAACUGAAGAGUACAGACAUCUAACCUAAAGCACUCAUGCCCAUAGUUCUUCCAUAAGCUGGAAAUGCUAUUCCAUUUUCUUCUUUUUGGUCUCCAUUGGAUAAUUAUGUUGAAUGCUGGGGCACGGGUUUCUUUCUUUUCCUUUUGUCUUCUUCCUUUCUUUUCUUUUGCCCUCCCCCGCCCCCGACUUUUAAUUCUUGUUAUUUAACUACAGGACUCUCUCCAGCAAUCUGGCUCUGCAUCCAGCUUGACCACCUCGCUCUGUCUUGCACCACUGAUUAGACCCACCUUGGAUGACGGUAGAUACAGCCAUGCAGGACUAUCCACUUUGCUCAAUGUCCCUGGUUUAUUACAGGAUCAUUGUUGUGACAGAAACAUGUCAGUAAUGGCUGCUUUCCACUGAACAAUGACUCCUAGGCUGUGGCUAUGCAAGCAAAGCGAAGAGGAAAGACGAGCAAUUAUCCAGUGGAUGUGAUCCAUGCUGACAGCCAAUCUGGAUAAUUCAAAUAGAAACAACUUCCUUUGCCUCACUGGCAGGUUUGGGGCUUGAUUUAGUGAGAUCAUUGUUUAACUUUCUUUGCCUGUGGAAAUGCGGUACAUGUGUCUGCUGGUUAAGUGAGGGUUUGGGGGUUAUAACCACAGCAUCUGUUAAUUUGACAUUCAAGUUUCUCUGUGGGUUGGAAGCCCUUGUGUCUAAAAUUUAAAAGUAGCAAUACGUACCACACCCCCAGCUGUCUGGGAACUCAGACUGCAUAUGCUUCUUGGUUUUCUAAUCUGCCCAGAGAAAUAAAACCAUCAC